rnacentral:rRNA from 1 species
CCUACGGGAGGCAGCAGUGAGGAAUAUUGGUCAAUGGACGAGAGUCUGAACCAGCCAAGUAGCGUGAAGGAUGACUGCCCUAUGGGUUGUAAACUUCUUUUAUAUGGGAAUAAAACGUUCCACGUGUGGGAUUUUGUAUGUCCCAUAUGAAUAAGGAUCGGCUAACUCCGUGCCAGCAGCCGCGGUAAUACGGAGGAUCCGAGCGUUAUCCGGAUUUAUUGGGUUUAAAGGGAGCGUAGGUGGAUUGUUAAGUCAGUUGUGAAAGUUUGCGGCUCAACCGUAAAAUUGCAGUUGAAACUGGCAGUCUUGAGUACAGUAGAGGUGGGCGGAAUUCGUGGUGUAGCGGUGAAAUGCUUAGAUAUCACGAAGAACUCCGAUUGCGAAGGCAGUUCACUGGACUGCAACUGACACUGAGGCUCGAAAGUGUGGGUAUCAAACAGGAUUAGAUACCCGUGUAGUC